GGCUUCCCAGGCGGCUGGAACACCAAAUUCCCUCCUCUGAAGCUGUAGAUCUUUCUGUAGUCCCUCCUCUACCGAACCGAUCCUUUAUCACCAUAGCAACGAUACUCCAAAGCCCGUCCGAGAUCUGCUUUAAUCACCGUGUCUGAAGUUCCAGUUCCUCCCAAAGUCCAGGAGAACUUUCAGGACAAUGCAGGCUGUAGGGAACAUGUUUCUGUCGGUGAGCCUGAGACCCAUCUGAAGGCCAACAGCAUCACAGGAAAAUACGGAAUGUGGUUCCAGGACCCAGAGUCUCCAGGAGCUCCGUAUGGGCCAGACACGGUGUGGUGCAUCGACACUGUGAGCAAUGAAGUACGAGAACUGUACGUCUAUGAAAACCUGGAGCAGCUCGCCCGUGACUACCCCACCAAGGUCCUGCUUUUACCAGAGUCGAUGGGGAGCACCGGGGACACCGUGUACCACGGAUCACUUUACUAUCGACACAGUCUUUUCUUCAUUAAAACUUCUUCACAUGGAUUUUGCCGACUCAUCAUUACAGUGUUCAUGAUCACCUGGGUACAGUGUAGAUCUCUUUUUCUCUCCUUCCAACCGUUUUCUUUCCCUUCACCACAUUCACACCUAAUUCACCUUACCUGUAAACUGGUUCCAGAUUUUGGUCUUCAGCUGCUGUUACAUUAAUAAGUCACAAUAACUCCCAUUGACCUUUUAUAGAGUUUUAGUGUCACUAAACACAAAUGUUCUGUGCUGUGCAGCAUUUGCUCAGGGUUUUAAAUGAUCUGUAAGUUCUAGUUCUGAUCACAUUUCCAUUCUUCUUCUUGACCUGAGUGCAGCUUUUGAUUCUGUAGACCAGGAUGUUCUUCUACACAGACUUGAGCACUGAGUAGGUCUCUCAGGACCAGUACUAAACUGGUUCACAUCAUACUUGUGUGCUAGACAGUUUUAUGGUCAAUUGUGAAGUCACUCAUCAAGACAACAUGAAAUUUCAUUUGGAGUUCCAUAAAGAUCUGUUUUAGGAGCCUUGCUUUUCUCCCUCUACAUGUCUCUUGUUCGACUCAAACACAUGAAAUCAGUUUUUAUAGUUAUGUAGAUGACACACAAGUUUAUAUAUCAGUGUCACUGUGUAAUCAAGAGCUAAUUAACAAACUGAUUACAUGCUUGAAUGAAAUAUCUGACUGGAUGUCACAGAACUUUCUACAGUUAAACCAGGAUAAAAUGGGGAUAUUAAUUGUAGGAGAUAAA